CCAAAAGGGGGUGGUGGUCCUAUGCUUGUGCUGCCAGGAGGGCACUCCAGCUCACGGGGAAAGGCGGGUGUGGUGGUGGCACCCAUACUACCUCCCCCAGCAAUGACCCUUCGGUUAGCUUUUCACUGAUAAAAAAAAGCAGAGAUGUGAGCUUUCACUGCAACACCCAUUAUGCUGCAAUCAGCCUGAGCUCUCUGCAGACCUAACCAGCCUCCUGUUUACUUGGCCAACAUGAUAGGAGAAAAUGAACUCCGAGUGAGAGCCUUCCAUGGGCAGCCCCAUCAGGUUCUGUGACCACAGCAUCAUUAUGGAGACGCUUCUUUAUGUGAACCUGGCUUACACAUUGAUCUCUUAUGAUCUCUUCUGAAAUACUAAUUGCAUGAUUAUUUCUUAUUGCUCUUUUUUUUAAAAUCAUGCCUAGGAUGAUCUGUGCUUGGCUUUCUUCUCAGUGAGGUGGAAAUCACUGAAAUCAGUGGAUGUGUUUCCAUUUUUUGCAUGUGCAGCAGCAAAGGGCUGCAAAGAGUCAGCAGUCAGUCAGAGUCAGAUGACAGCAGUUUUUACCCAGCACAAGUCCCUUGGGAUGGCGCUGUUCUGGGAUGUGCUUUGCCCUUGGGGGACAAAUGAGCUCAUCUGGGCCUUCAUCUCCCAUCUGCAACAGAACCAUUCAGGUCUCUGCUACCAAAGGCUACAAUGCUCCAUGGAGAAGAGAAACAAAUUGUUAUUUGCUCAUGGCACAAGUGGUGAAGAAUCAGUCCCAGAGAAAACAGCGGAGGUGAGAGGACUAUAUGGCUAUCUGUAUGUCAUUAGCAAUCCCUGGAGAUCCUGGUCCUCCCAAAGCUUAUAAACAGUGAUAUGAGUGUUUUGAAAGUAACUUUUUAAAAAACAGUAAAAGGCUAUUUUAAUUAAAUGAACAUAUCUUUUCCCUUAGAUCAUAACCUUGGAUCCCAAUAGCUAUUUUGGGAAUUCAGAAGCAUUUCAAAUAAUUAAACAAAAACAAAAGAAAAAAAAAUUGAUGUUCUUUUAUAGUUGGCAAUAUUUCAGGCUUCAUAUAUUAAUCCAGCUUUUCCUUUUCUUAAAAGCAAGCUGAAAAGCUUUUGUAAUAAGAUAUUAAAAAUUGUUUAGCAUCCUGGAUCAUUAAUAGAAACACUUGAAUGUGGGCUUUAAGACUUA